UUUAUUUCAAAUCCAUUACUUUUAAUUGUUAUCAUUUUUCAGCAAUUUAUUUCGAUAAAGAAAUAAAGAUGAAAACCAGUAUUUUUCCUUGACAAUUGACAAUGAAUGUGGAACGAAUAACACACAAGAAAAGUUCAGUAUAUUCAUAAGAGACAAUUUAUUUGCGAAAACUAUUGCCGUAGAUAUACUAACCUUCCAAACUGUGAGGUCCAAGUGAGAGGCAUUCCUUACGAGACGAUGUUCUCUCCAUUUAAGACUAUUGCUGUAGGUCAUGUGGGAAAACCGGUCGAAUAGAUGCAGCCACUCGUCCGUGCAGUUACAGUACGCUCGUGUCUCGUAGUUGCGACAUGCAUGGAACACGCUUGCUCAAACGUAUUGAUAAUAUUGAAUUCUUCUGUAGAAAAACUUAUUGGUGCAAUGUAUCGUCGAAAAAGCAAAUUAUUAUAUUAUAUAGCUGU